rnacentral:lncRNA from 1 species
ACGCGUGCGCAAUGAAGUCUCACUGAAAUGAAGAUGCUUCACAGAGCUUCCGCAAGCUUACAUCAAACCAGCGGAGAAAGUUAUACCAGUCUCUCGGCCUGCUAAGUGGCAUUAAAUAUUACAGAAUGCACUCCACAAUAAACCAGCCGUAAAGAUAAGAUAUUCACAACGAGAAUGCCUUUGAGCAGAGAUGAAAAAACAAAAACAAAAAAUAACAAACGCUAACCUGGGAUUUAAAAGCAACAACGUUUUUGAUUGAAUAAAGAAGCAAUUGGUGCAGUAGCCGACCUGUUAUCUGGUAAACUUGAAACUGGAUGUGGCACGGAUUUUGAGAUAUUUCGGUUUCUUAAAGACAGCCUAAGUAUGUACUUAAUUAUAAAAUAAACUAUGAAAAGUAAAUAAC